UGUUAUUUACAUGAAAAACAUCGUCAAUAUUGGCUCUAUCCCCGCGCCGAAGAUAAAACAAAGAUUUAAGGAAAUUAUCAUGCUCAGCGAGGGAAAAAAAAAAGAAAUUGGAAGCAAAGUAGGGAAAGUUGCGCACGUCUUUUAGUUUAGUCUCAGUUUUCAGUCUUGGAAGCAACUUCGUUGUGUUAACGUUUUUCAUGUCUGAGAAGUAUAUAGAUAUAUUUUUAUGAUAUGGAAGGGAAACCAGUUUUUUCUCAAGUUGCGUCCGGGAGAGCUGAACAAACCCCAGGCAUUGAAGAUCAAGAUUUAUCUACUGACACAGUGAAAAGAAUUCGAAACUUAGUUGGAUUUUGGGCACUGGCACUUCUAAUCUUAGAAAUUAAGCCCUGCUUUGGCCCAAAGUGACCAAGGGCAAUGCACUUGUUGCAAGCAUAGAACGAGCCAGUUCAACAAUUGUUCAGUUUUCCCUCUCUGCUGCACCAUUUUGCUCUGGUGAGUAUGGUACACUGAGAGUUAGUGCUAUACCUUUUUUAACAAGUAUCUUUUGAAUUUCACCACAGUCAAAUUCUCAUCCUUCAUCACAACAGAAACUUUUUACAACAUGGCCAAGAUUAGUGGCUUCAUUGAGAAACGUAUGUAGGCAACAACUAACAUCACUUUUCUUUUUCAAAAAGAUUUUAUGAUAUUUGCUAUAGUUAUCUUUAAAGCAAACAUAAUAUUAAAGCAAACAUAAAUUUAAAGCAAACACCACUAAAAGCCCACAGACAUAGGGCCAAUAUGAUCACAGACAUGCAUUUUCUGAGUAUAAAAAAUUUUUAAUUAAUUUUUGCUUAGUGAUUUGUGAGAGGAAGAAAAGUAAGUACCGUCUAUAUUUUAUAUUUUUGUAUUAAUUUUUUACAGAAAAAGCAAGUAGGAAACUUAAGCAAUCAAGAUCUGGAAAUUAGUAAAAUUUGGUGCUACAUAAAACAGUUAAUAGAACUUUAAACUUAUCUUGCUAACAAUUAAAAGUCAUUAUUUAAUUAAUAUCUUUUAUAAAGACGUAUAAGUAGAUGUUCAUGAAAAAAUAUAGUAUAAAAAACUAUUAGAAAAUGUAAAAUAUUGUUGUGUUUGAAAUUUUUGUUCUUCUAAAGGUUUUGAGAGUUAUAUGCAGUAGUACGUGUUGUGAUGUAGUGGCCAAAACCAUUACACAAACCCUGGGUUGUAAUACAGGGUUGAAAUUAACUUCUAACUCAAGUUAAAACAAUAACAUGUAUUUUAAUAAAAUAAAUACAUUAACAAGUGCAUAACCAGACAAUGUGGGACAUGGAUACAUUCAAUCCCGUAAUUUCAGAAUUUUGUUAACAUAAAAAAUGCUGUAUUGCAUUAUACAUGAGGAGAGAUAGUUCUAGCAGGCCAACAUACCCAUGGCUCUAGCAGGAAACUUUUCCCCUCUUCUCAGGAAACUACUUUUUAUAUCUCACUGCGUUUACUUGCAAUGAACUCCUGGAGGGGAAUGAUUCCUUUACCUUGUACACAACAAAACUGUCCAUCUCCUGAGCUUGAUGAAAAGAUUUCUUUUAUCCCUUUGCCCAUUGGAGUGACCUUCAAGGCUGCAACCGGAAUCAUUAACAAAGGGGCCUCAUUUCACAGGAUUUCACCACUAAUCUGAAAAGAGAUUCUAUUGCAAUCUGAAAUCAUUCAUCCUAGACAAGUAAUCUCUAUGCGACCUUAUCGCGGUGUAAAAAAAACACGGUUUGCUACCAAAAGGAGUACAGUUGCACUAAGUUGAAAAUAUAAGAUUUAAUGUUGACUUUCCUGAAGUUCAACGAAGUAGAUGAACAUAUCGUGUCAGACUAUGGCAUGUUAGCAAAAUUAUACGAUGGAUAACCUACGAAUGUAUUUUACUGUUACAACAUGAGUUAUGUCUGAUUAACAUUUCAUUUUAGUCAUGCACGUAAUUAGCGGUGUAGUAAAAUUAUCCGGAAUACUUGGGCUAGAUUCUUGUUACACUUCAUGUAUCACAUUGCCACACCAUGUUCAAGAGAAUCACGGCUACUGGCCACGUUGACAAACACCCCGGAUAGGCAUAUCAGGAAAGACACGCAGUCAUCAGCAGAACCGGGAGGACACGCAGUCGACACCGUAUAAUCUUUCUCUCUCCAUGGGAAGGAUUCUACUACUACUUAUAUAAUUCACCUUUUGUGCUCAGCGCAGCUGCGAACAUGAGGAAUGCAGAUUCUAAAAAUUAUGCAAGGUUAAAAUUAUAUUACCUGGUAAACAAAACUUUAAUUUUUGUUAACUUUUAUAUUUUAAAUGCUUUUUUUUUUUUUUUUUUUUUUUUUUCAGUAAAAAAAUAUUUAAUAAAAAAUAGGAAAUAGAAAGAUAAAAAUAUUACUUACUAGCUGUUAAGUUACCAGCCUUCAUCUGGCUUUUAAAUAUACUGGAAAAAUGCCAGAAGGGAAUACCAAAUAUUAAAUUUUAAACCUGCACAGAAUUUUACUCUGCAGAACAACUUUAUUAAAAAAAAUUACAAUGAAAUAAGCAAUAUCCUUUAAUACAGAUAUUAAUUAUCGUAAUAAAUUAACUACCUUCCCAUACCUUUCUGUUGACAAACAUCUAGUAUCCAAGAGAAACAUUAAAUUUAAAACCUGAACAGAAUUAUCGCCCUCAUUUUUCCGAGUGGCAACAGUGCUGAUAUCAGCAAUAAUGGUUACGUACCAUUGUUGCUGUUGAAUUAUCGAUUUGAUGAAAUUUCAUCAAAAAACAUAACAUUAAAAAAAAACCAUUCGAACUGCUUUGAAAAAAAUUGCUUCAAGGUGCACUGGCUUUUGUCUAGAUGCACCUAUGUACCAAAUUUCGUAGCCCUGGGUUUAUUAGCUUAAGCGCAAGCACGAACGAAAGACACACACACACAAAGACAGACAGACUCUUCUUUAUAUAUAUAUAGAUUUCUACUUGUGCUGAAAACCAUUAUUGUAGAACUGUUAUGCUUUCUCUUUGCUUUUAUUUCUUGCAGUACCACAACGUUUUCUUCCGUGCGUUUCCCCGUAGCGUUUAUUUCUGGGAUGUUUUUGCGUGUAACCGUUCAGUGAUAAGUAAAGGAAAUCUUACUUCACAAAAAACAGAUAAAAUAUACUUAGUUGACUGCACAAAGAAAACUAUAGAAUUUCUCAAAAUGCAGUCUCUGAAUUUGAGCCACUAUAUAUCAACUGUAUAAAUUCUUUGAAUCAUUAUAUAUCAACUUCUAAUAAGAACCGGG
rnacentral:lncRNA from 1 species